UUCCGGUUGAUCCUGCCGGAGGUCACUGCUAUUGGGAUUCGACUAAGCCAUGCGAGUCGAGAGGGUUCGGCCCUCGGCCGACGGCUCAGUAACACGUGGAUAAUCUGCCCUUAGGUGGAGGAUACCCUCGGGAAACUGAGAAUAAUACUCCAUAGAUCUUAGAUGCUGGAAUGCAUUAAGGUUGAAAACUCCGGUGCCUUAGGAUGAGUCUGCGGACUAUCAGGUAGUAGUCAGGGUAAAGACCUGACUAGCCUACGACGGAUACGGGUUGUGAGAGCAAUAACCCGGAGAUGAUAUCUGAGACACGAUAUCAGGCCCUACGGGGCGCAGCAGGCGCGAAACCUUCACACUGUGCGAAAGCGCGAUGAGGGAAUCCCAAGUGUAUGCACGUAAGUGUAUACUGUUUCUAUGUCUAAAAAGCAGAGAGAGUAAGGGCUGGGUAAGACGGGUGCCAGCCGCCGCGGUAAUACCUGCAGCUCAAGUGGUGACCGCUAUUAUUGGGCCUAAAACGUCCGUAGCCUGUUUAUUAAAUGCCUGGGUAAAUCGUGCCGCUUAACGGUACGAAUUCCGGGUAGACUGAUAGGCUUGAGACCGGGAGAGGCUAGAGGUACUCCUGGGGUAGAGGUGAAAUUCUGUAAUCCUGGGGGGACCACCAGUGGCGAAGGCGUCUAGCUAGAACGGGUCUGACGGUGAGGGACGAAGCCCUGGGGCGCAAACCGGAUUAGAUACCCGGGUAGUCCAGGGUGUAAACGCUGCUUGCUUGAUGUUAGUCGGGCUCCGAGCCCGAUUAGUGUCGGAGAGAAGUUGUUAAGCAAGCUGCCUGGGAAGUACGAUCGCAAGAUUGAAACUUAAAGGAAUUGGCGGGGGAGCACAGCAACGGGGGAGCGUGCGGUUUAAUUGGAUUCAACGCCGGA
rnacentral:rRNA from 1 species